AACGAACGCUGGCGGCAGGCUUAACACAUGCAAGUCGAACGAUGAACCCGGAGCUUGCUCCGGUGGAUUAGUGGCGAACGGGUGAGUAACACGUGAGUAACCUGCCCUUGACUCUGGGAUAACUGCGGGAAACUGUAGCUAAUACCGGAUACGACCCUCGGCGGCAUCGCCAGGGGGUGGAAAGAAUUUCGGUCAAGGAUGGACUCGCGGCCUAUCAGCUAGUUGGUGAGGUAACGGCUCACCAAGGCGACGACGGGUAGCCGGCCUGAGAGGGUGACCGGCCACGCUGGGACUGAGACACGGCCCAGACUCCUACGGGAGGCAGCAGUGGGGAAUAUUGCACAAUGGGCGCAAGCCUGAUGCAGCAACGCCGCGUGAGGGAUGACGGCCUUCGGGUUGUAAACCUCUUUUAGUAGGGAAGAAGCGAAAGUGACGGUACCUGCAGAAAAAGCACCGGCUAACUACGUGCCAGCCGCCGCCGUAA
rnacentral:rRNA from 1 species